GAUGAACGCUGGCGGCGUGCCUAAUACAUGCAAGUCGAGCGAACGGACGAGAAGCUUGCUUCUCUGAUGUUAGCGGCGGACGGGUGAGUAUCACGUGGAUAACCUACCUAUAAGACUGGGAUAACUUCGGGAAACCGGAGCUAAUACCGGAUAAUAUUUUGAACCGCAUGGUUCAAAAGUGAAAGACGGUCUUGCUGUCACUUAUAGAUGGAUCCGCGCUGCAUUAGCUAGUUGGUAAGGUAACGGCUUACCAAGGCAACGAUGCAUAGCCGACCUGAGAGGGUGAUCGGCCACACUGGAACUGAGACACGGUCCAGACUCCUACGGGAGGCAGCAGUAGGGAAUCUUCCGCAAUGGGCGAAAGCCUGACGGAGCAACGCCGCGUGAGUGAUGAAGGUCUUCGGAUCGUAAAACUCUGUUAUUAGGGAAGAACAUAUGUGUAAGUAACUGUGCACAUCUUGACGGUACCUAAUCAGAAAGCCACGGCUAACUACGUG
rnacentral:rRNA from 1 species